rnacentral:misc_RNA from 1 species
GAAUUGCGAAAAGUAAUGUGAAUUGCAGAAUUUCGUGAAUCAUCGAAUCUUUGAACGCACCUUGCACUUUCUGGUCCUCCAGAAAGUAUGCCUGUUUGAGUAUCAUUUAAACCCUCAUUCCCUUGAAGGGCGUUUGCUCGCUCCUUGAAGGAAAUGGUGUUGAGCGUCUGACGCGUCGACGGAUUGCGUGUGCAGUUUGCACGGGCGGUCCUUUGGCAGCAUGUGUCGGUUGCUUGAAAUGCAGCGUGGCUGUGCUUGACCCACAUCACACUGGCGUAUUAGUUCUCUUUCAAGAGAUUCCUUACGCAACCACAGUGUGGUCUCGACGGAUCCGCAGCCGCGACCCUUAACCACCUGGCGUGCUUGGCAGUUGACAAGCAGCUAGAAUUUUGAUCUCAAA